CUCAGUUCGGACUGGAGUCUGCAACCCGACUCCACGAAGCUGGAUUCGCUAGUAAUCGCGGAUCAGAAUGCCGCGGUGAAUACGUUCCCGGGUCUUGUACACACCGCCCGUCACACCAUGGGAGUCGGGAAUGCCCGAAGCCGGUGGCCCAAUCGUAAAGAAGGGAGCCGUCGAAGGCAGGCCGGAUGACUGGGGUGAAGUCGUAACAAGGUAUC
rnacentral:rRNA from 1 species